UACAGAGGGUGCGAGCGUUGUCCGGAAUCACUGGGCGUAAGGGCGCGUAGGUGGUGGCUUAAGCGUGCGGUGAAAGCUCGGGGCUCAACCCCGAGUCGGCCGUGCGAACUGGGCUCACUGGAGCAUAGUAGAGGCAGGUGGAAUUCCGGGUGUAGCGGUGGAAUGCGUAGAGAUCCGGAAGAACACCGGUGGCGAAGGCGGCCUGCUGGGCUAUGGCUGACACUGAGGCGCGACAGCGUGGGGAGCAAACAGG
rnacentral:rRNA from 1 species